GUGCUUGCUUUGGUAGCACAUAAACUAAAAUUGGAACAAUACAGGGAAGAUUAGCAUGGUCCCUGCACAAGAAUGUCAUGCAAAUUCAUGAAGCAUUCCACAGUUUU
rnacentral:snRNA from 1 species